GUAGAUAUAGUUUAACAAUAAAACAUUAGAUUGUGAUUCUAAAAAGAGGGGUUAAAACCCCCUUAUCCACC
rnacentral:tRNA from 1 species